rnacentral:rRNA from 1 species
AACGGGCGGCGUGCCUGGUGCGUGCUAGAAUGCAAGUCGAACGCACAGCGAAAGGUGCUUGCACCUUUCAGUGAGUGGCGAACGGGUGAGUAACACGUGGACAACCUGCCUCAAGGCUGGGGAUAACUUUGGAAACAGAUGCUAAUACCGAAUAAAACUUAGUGUCGCAUGACACAAAGUUAAAAGGCGCUUCGGCGUCACCUAGAGAUGGAUCCGCGGUGCAUUAGUUAGUUGGUGGGGUAAAGGCCUACCAAACAAUGGAUGCAUAGCCGAGUUGAGAGACUGAUCGGCCACAUUGGGACUGAGACACGGCCCAAACUCCUACGGGAGGCUGCAGUAGGGAAUCUUCCACAAUGGGCGAAAGCCUGAUGGAGCAACGCCCGUGUGUGAUGAAGGCUUUCGGGUCGUAAAGCACUGUUGUAUGGGAAGAACAGCUAGAAUAGGAAAUGAUUUUAGUUUGACGGUACCAUACCAGAAAGGGACGGCUAAAUACGUGCCAGCAGCCGCGUAAUACGUAUGUCCCGAGCGUUAUCCGGAUUUAUUGGGCGUAAAGCGAGCGCAGACGGUUUAUUAAGUCUGAUGUGAAAGCCCGGAGCUCAACUCUGGAAUUGCAUUGGAAACUGGUUAACUUGAGUCAGUAGAGGUAAGUGGAACUCCAUGUGUAGCGGUGGAAUGCGUAGAUAUAUGGAAGAACACCAGUGGCGAAGGCGGCUUACUGGACUGCAACUGACGUUGAGGCUCGAAAGUGUGGGUAGCAAACAGAUUAGAUACCCUGGUAGUCCACACCGUAAACGAUGAACACUAGGUGUUAGGAGGUUUCCGCCUCUUAGUGCCGAAGCUAACGCAUUAAGUGUUCCGCCUGGGGAGUACGACCGCAAGGUUGAAACUCAAGGAAUUGACGGGGACCCGCACAAGCGGUGGAGCAUGUGGUUUAAUUCGAAGCAACGCGAAGAACCUUACCAGGUCUUGACAUCCUUUGAAGCUUUUAGAGAUAGAAGUGUUCUCUUCGGAGACAAGUGACAGGUGGUGCAUGGUCGUCGUCAGCCUCCG